GACGAACGCUGGCGGCGUGCUUAACACAUGCAAGUCGAACGGAAAGGCCCUGCUUUUGUGGGGUGCUCGAGUGGCGAACGGGUGAGUAACACGUGAGUAACCUGCCCUUGACUUUGGGAUAACUUCAGGAAACUGGGGCUAAUACCGGAUAGGAGCUCCUGCUGCAUGGUGGGGGUUGGAAAGUUUCGGCGGUUGGGGAUGGACUCGCAGCUUAUCAGCUUGUUGGUGGGGUAGUGGCUUACCAAGGCUUUGACGGGUAGCCGGCCUGAGAGGGUGACCGGCCACAAUGGGACUGAGAUACGGCCCAGACUCCUACGGGAGGCAGCAGUGGAGAAUAUUGCACAAUGGGCGGAAGCCUGAUGCAGCAACGCCGCGUGCGGGAUGACGGCCUUCGGGUUGUAAACCGCUUUCGCCUGUGACGAAGCGUGAGUGACGGUAAUGGGUAAAGAAGCACCGGCUAACUACGUG
rnacentral:rRNA from 1 species